CGGGGGCCAGGGGCGCCGGCUGACAUCUUGUCACAGCGGGCUUUGUAGAGGUCACGCUCCCGAGCCAGGCGCGCCAACUCGCCCCGCAACGCGUCCAGCUGGGCGGCCAGACGGGCCCUCUCUGCCUCCAGGCCCCGCCGCUGCUGCAGCCGCUUGGAGCGGCAGGCUUGGGCGUAGCCGCGGUUCUUCAAGGUGCGACGUCUCUGCUUGAGCCGCAGAGCCUCGUCUCUCCCGCAACCCCGCAGCUGCCGGUUCAGCUCACGCACGGACAUGGACACCAGCGCAGCAUCGGAAAACCGCUCAGCCAGUACCGGGAGCUGGAGAGGGGACGGGGAGGAUUAAGACUCCAAGGACAAGUCCUUUUAUACCCCAACUCCACCAUCGUAAACCGCUCCGGAACCCUCCUGGCAGCAGCCAUCAAUCCAUCGCAGCCCCUGUUUACUGGGCGAAUCUUGGAUCCCUCCCCAUUCACAAUGGCAGAAACUGUCCCCUCAUUCAGCCCCAGUCCUUCUUGCAAGCCUUCUCCCAAGCCCCAUCCAGCUACUUUUCCCUUGCAGCACCCUACUCAUUCUUCCCACAGCCCCUCUUUCUCUCCACAAUCCUACUUGGCUGGCUAGUGCCCUCGAGAACUCGAAGUCCUUCCCAUAUCUCUUGCCCUUAGCCACCCAGAAAACACCCAUCGCUACACCUCCCACUCUCCCACUCCCCAUCAGUCGUUAGGGUCAUAAUCCUACGGAAAUGUGGAAGAAAGAUCAGCCUCCUUUUCCUUCUCUCAGCACUGACCGCCCACCGGGACCCCAACAUCCCAUAUACCCUCUCACCUGGGGGUUCGGGCCACCCAUCUCUUCUGCACUUCCUGGGUAGUGGGAGAGAGGACCCUCAGGAGGGGCUGGUCCCUGGACCUGCAGGAACUCCACAGCCUCAUCAGGACUCAACCCCAGCCCCUCUCCAGCCCCCAGCUGCUGCUGCAGAGCAGCCAGCCAGUACAGCUCUUCCAGACCCUGCCGAACCCCUUCAGUGGCCCCUACUACACCCGGAUCACUGAAGAAAAGUCAUAACAAGUUUGGCAAGCCACUCAACUUUUCUGAGCCUUAGUUUCAGUCAAGAAAUCAAGAACUCUUAAGUGGGUUGAGAAUUCCUACUGAAUGAAGAAGUUAUCCAAGAAGAAAAUAAGGACUUCAGGAACAGUUCCAAAAAGGAUCAGGGCCCAGUAUGAACCACCCACACUUCCAUUUCAUCCAAUCUCUUGCCUAGCUUGUAUGGAUUGACAAAUUAAUCCUUCCUUCACUCAAGCCCUGCUAUGACUGGAGGAAUUCUCUCCCUUCUUCUUUCCAAUUGAUUUGUCCAUCUACAGCUGGACAGUAAAGUCAGCCCUCGAAGCAGAUGAUCUUGAAGCACAUCAGAAAAAUAACCACUACCCUUUAUGAGGGAUGGAGAAGAAAUUGCCACCCCAAUACUCCAGACAAGUACUCAGGACAACAAAGUAUAUAUACUUUGGAGGGGGAAAAAAGGAGAUGGUAAAUGAAGUAGAGAUGUCUCUUUAGUGAGCUAAGGGACCUAGAGAUCUACUAUCAAUAAAGAUGGAAAAUGAAAA